UGGGGAAUAUUGGGCAAUGGGCGAAAGCCUGACCCAGCGACGCCGCGUGAGGGAAGAAGGUCUUCGGAUUGUAAACCUCUUUCAGCAGGGAAGAAGAAAGUGACGGUACCUGCAGAAGAAGUCACGGCUAACUACGUGCCAGCAGCCGCGGUAAUACGUAGGUGGCGAGCGUUAUCCGGAAUUACUGGGUGUAAAGGGUGUGUAGGCGGGAGUGCAAGUCAGACGUGAAAACUAUGGGCUCAACCCAUAACGUGCGUUUGAAACUGUGCUUCUUGAGAGUGGGAGAGGUAAACGGAAUUCCUGGUGUAGUAGUGAAAUGCGUAGAUAUCAGGAGGAACACCGGUGGCGAAGGCGGUUUACUGGACCACAACUGACGCUGAGACACGAAAGCGUGGGGAGCAAACAGG
rnacentral:rRNA from 1 species